AACGUCGUCGCGUUGUGAAUGAGUGCGACAAUGGACCAAGGACCAACGGAGUAACGGAGGACGAUCGAGGAGAGGAGAACGGGGCCUGGGAGGCAUCGGGCGACGGCGGAGCGACCGUGGGAUCAACGCAGAAUUACAACUCCGCUGUUGCGCAUCGGCCGCUUAAUGCUAAGGUAGCACCGCCACGAUUUUCUCCGAAAUGGCACGGGAUACAAAAUUGUUAUUAGUGGUACAAAUUAGUACAAAAUGGGUACUAAAUAUUCUGAUAGGUCCGGUUUGAUUCUGCCGAUUUGGUCCUGCUAGCU